rnacentral:tRNA from 5 species
GAAACCGCAGAACUGCGCGGUUGGCUUUGGGCCUUCUAAGCCGAUGGUCACAGGUUCGAAUCCUGUCGGGAUCGCCA